rnacentral:rRNA from 1 species
CGGGACGGGUGAGUAAUGUCUGGGAAACUGCCUGAUGGAGGGGGAUAACUACUGGAAACGGUAGCUAAUACCGCAUAACGUCGCAAGACCAAAGAGGGGGACCUUCGGGCCUCUUGCCAUCGGACGUGCCCAGAUGGGAUUAGCUAGUAGGUGGGGUAGCGGCUCACCUAGGCGACGAUCCCUAGCUGGUCUGAGAGGAUGACCAGCCACACUGGAACUGAGACACGGUCCAG